rnacentral:tRNA from 1 species
GGCCGCGUGGCGAAAUGGAUAACGGUUCGGGUCUUCGGAAGGUUGCAGGUUCGAGUCCUGCCGUGGUCG